rnacentral:rRNA from 1 species
UUUAUGGAGAGUUUGAUCCUGGCUCAGGAUGAACGCUGGCGGCGUGCCUAAUACAUGCAAGUCGAGCGAACAGACGAGGAGCUUGCUCCUCUGACGUUAGCGGCGGACGGGUGAGUAACACGUGGAUAACCUACCUAUAAGACUGGGAUAACUUCGGGAAACCGGAGCUAAUACCGGAUAAUAUAUUGAACCGCAUGGUUCAAUAGUGAAAGACGGUUUUGCUGUCACUUAUAGAUGGAUCCGCGCCGCAUUAGCUAGUUGGUAAGGUAACGGCUUACCAAGGCAACGAUGCGUAGCCGACCUGAGAGGGUGAUCGGCCACACUGGAACUGAGACACGGUCCAGACUCCUACGGGAGGCAGCAGUAGGGAAUCUUCCGCAAUGGGCGAAAGCCUGACGGAGCAACGCCGCGUGAGUGAUGAAGGUCUUCGGAUCGUAAAACUCUGUUAUUAGGGAAGAACAAAUGUGUAAGUAACUAUGCACGUCUUGACGGUACCU